rnacentral:rRNA from 1 species
GACGAACGCUGGCGGCGUGCCUAAUACAUGCAAGUCGAACGGUUUAGUUCCAAGAGGCUUGCCUUUUGGAACUAGACAGUGGCGGACGGGUGAGUAACACGUAGGCAACCUACCUGUCAAACCGGGAUAACCUCGGGAAACCGAAGCUAAACCCGGAUAAGCUCCUUUUUCGCAUGAAGGGGGAGUGAAAAGGUGCGACCUGAUGACAGAUGGGCCUGCGGCGCAUUAGCUAGUAGGUAGGGUAACGGCCUACCUAGGCGAUGAUGCGUAGCCGACCUGAGAGGGCGUACUGCCACACUGGGACUGAGAUACGGCCCAGACUCCUACGGGAGGCAGCAGUAGGGAAUCUUCGGCAAUGGGCGAAAGCCUGACCGAGCAACGCCGCGUGAGUGAGGAAGGCCUUCGGGUUGUAAAACUCUGUUGUUUGGGAAGAAGGGAAAGGGUAGGACCCUUAGGUGACGGUACCAAACGAGAAAGCCCCGGCUAACUACGUG